rnacentral:misc_RNA from 1 species
AACGCACGAGACCUGCGGACCUGCGGAGGGAUCAUUACCGAGUUUACAAAACUCCCAAACCCUUUGUGAACCUUACCUAUCGUUGCUUCGGCGGGAACGCCCCGGCGCCCUCGCGGCCCGGAACCAGGCGCCCGCCGGAGGCCCCAAACCCUCAUGUCUUUAGUGGUUUCCUCCUCUGAGUGACAUAAACAAAUAAAGUAAAAACUUUCAACAACGGAUCUCUAGAUCGGAAGAGCACAC